CUUUACAAUCUCUCGAAAUUCAUUUUAAAAAGUAAAAUAAGUACCGCCAAAUAAUUGAGUAUUUCUGAUUUUUUUUAAUUGUCGAUUUGGAAUCUGGCAAUGAUCGUCUGCGUUAGGUUCAGAACCGCGCGUUUAAAUUGCCAAUUCCAGCGGGAAAUCGUGGAGCUUCGGCCUCAUGUUUCUAAGAUCCAAAGAACAGAAGCUCCCAAUGCCAAAGUUGAAGCCAUGGCGUAGACCAGACAUUGAGACCGCUUGAGGCAUGGGGAAAAUGAUGAGUUUUUGGGAGGCCAUGGCUUUUUCAGAAAAAUCUACUCAACAGAAAUGGUGAAAGCCUAUGACCCAGCCUUGUAUGUGUGUGCUGCUGAUUCAUUUUGCAGAGAUCACGUGGUGUGAUUCCACUCUCAAACCUACAACUACACCCUGGCUUCAUUCCCCCCAAUUGCUUGUCUCCAUUCCUGAUCCACUCUCUCAAAUGCUGCUGGUUUGCCGAUCAAACAAGGUUUAAUCUUUCCCUUCUUUUUAGUUCAUUCCCCAUUUUGGUUUUGUGGGUUGUUGAUAUAAUUUAAUGCUCUCGCUGUUAAAUCACCAGGUGUUGAUCUUUCUUUCAGCAAUUAAUUGUGUUAAGAUUGUGUUAGUUAUGUUGAGUGGAGAUCUGAUGGCUAUAAUGAUGGAGUUAUUUGACUGUUCUUCUUCUUCCUCUUUUCUUUUUUUUUCUUUUUUUUUUUUUAAUCUUUUUCUAAUUGAGCUAUGAUGGUGUUUUGUUGUCAGUCUAGACCCUUUCUCUCUACAAUUAUUACACAGAUUUCCCUCAUGAUGGCUUUGAGUAUCCCAUCUGUCUCUUUCUGCCAUUUUCUCAGAUCUCUCCUCUUAAAAUUUCCCCAACAUUGUCUCACCAUUUCUCACUUUUUUUUUUCCCCCCUCUCUUUCUCUCUCUGAUUUCUCUUCUUUCAGCUUCUUCUUCUACUCCUGCUUGAUGUUUGGCCCCAACAUUAUAUUUUUUCUAAAAAAAAUGUCCAUCUUUUAACCCAUAUUUUUGUCUUCCAUUUGGGUUUUCACAGUACAAAUGCAAAGAUUAUUUAUCUUUUUUUCCGCCCCACACUUACAUUUUAAGUUGACAACAUGAACUCCACAUUAUUAGCUGGUGUUUGUUUUGAGCUUCUAUCUCUGUUUGUUUGCUCCUUUCCCGCUUAGUGUUAUCCUUUACUAGAUUAGAUUGAUUUUCUCAUCUAACUGCCAACUGCUAUAAGCUAAGUUCUACUUCUCUUUUGAGGGUUAUUUAUACAUAUUACAUUCAAGCAAAAUAUUAGAGGCUAGCUCUUGCAUUUUUGCAAGGGAAAAAAGAAUCCCAUUUGACGAAAUAACUGAAUCUUGAAUUUAUUAUUUCUUGACCUUAUUCGCUACUCAUUUUAUCAUCAUUUUUGUGUGCUUACCAGUUCUCCGCCGCUCUAUGUUUUGACCAUAUAAAGAGGUUGCUAGAGAGAGGAAGAGAGUCCAAAUGUUUUAACUUUGAAGUUUUAAUCCAGGUUCCUCAAGUCUAAGCUUCUUAUAUUAUAGUUUCUUUUGGGAUUUUAAGAAGUAAUGCAUUAGGAAGCAAGAUUAUUAUUAUCCUUUUCAUUGCUUACAGAAGAAAAAAACAUUUUGUUGAUUCAAACUUGUUUCUUUUAAAGUGAAGUGUUGAAAAGAAGAGUAAAAAGUAAAUGCUGUCUGAUUAAAGAAGUAAAGGCCUCUUUUUGACUCUUAUUUAGGUAUCUAACUUUUAAUGGCAUUGUUUGAUCCCCACACGCAUACAUAAAGCCUUUGCUUUCUUUAAAAAAAAAAAAAAAUGAAAUGAUUAACCCACAAAUCAUGCAUUGUUGAGUGCGAGCCACAUCGAUGGUCCAAAAAUUAAAAAGUUACGUGGUUUAUGUGUGUUUUUUUUAUCUGAAAGAAAGCAAAGACUCGACUUGCCAAACGAUGAACGGUUUGAAGCUUUUCAUAGCUUUGUCUCUUGAUGUCAUAUAAAUCUCCGAAGCCUUCAUUGGAUACAUGUAAUUUUGAACGACGACCCAGCAGGUAAAUCAGCAUAAAAUUAUGCUUUUUUGGCACUGAUUUGAUUUGUGGUGGGAAUCCAUGGAUGAACAUGAAGGAAGCAGUUUGAAUUUGAAAAACGGCAUUUUGGUUCAUAU